rnacentral:lncRNA from 1 species
CACCCACAGAACAUGGCCAAGGUGUGAGCAUUGGAUGGUGAGGAGUGAGGCUGAGUCCUUGGGCCCAGAAGACCAGGGCUAAUUAGAAUGGAAAGGUGAGAAAUUUGAAAGAAAAUAGAAAUCGAGACACAUCAUGGCACAUCAGGACUCCUCAUUGUUGGUCUGCUCAGGACUGACCACCCUCACUGCCAGGGAGGUGUUUUGACCUGAAUGGUAAUGAUGUGCCGGGCCUCCUUUGGUGUCUUCCCACAGCCGGCCCACGAGCCACAGGCCGGCUCCACACACCCCUCCCUGCUCCCGGUGCUCAGCGAGGACAAAGGUGAAGCCGAGGGCAGCGGCCAGCUGGCCCGGAGCAUGGUCUCCUUUGGCUCUUCCAGGGGCAGCCCGCGGCGGC